AUUCCAGCUCCAAUAGCGUAUAUUAAAGUUGUUGCAGCUAAAACGCUCGUAGUCGGAUUUCGGGGCGGCUUCGUCGGUCUGCCUCAAACGAGGUACGCACCAGUUGUCUGAAUCCAUCCUCGGGGAGAACAUAUGUGUCAUUAAUUUGAUGUGUAUGGGAUCCUCGUCAUUUACUGUGAGCAAAAUAGAGUGUUCAAAGCAGGCUUAUGCCGUUGAAUACAUUAGCAUGGAAUAAUAAGAUAGGACCUUGGUCUAUUUUGUUGGUUUGUACUCCAAGGUAAUGAUUAAUAGGGAUAGUUGGGGGUAUUCGUAUUCAAUUGUCAGAGGUGAAAUUCUUGGAUUUAUGGAAGACGAACUACUGCGAAAGCAUUUACCAAGGAUGUUUUCAUUA
rnacentral:rRNA from 1 species